rnacentral:sRNA from 1 species
GCAUGCUUGUAAUCUAUGGCGGUCAACUUGUAUGGCCUUCCAAGGUAUUUGUUAUGUAGGAUGGUAUAUUGGCCAGAGCAUGAUAGCUUCAUGCAUGGCACGCCACAUGACGAUGGUGUAUUUUUGGAUUCAAGUUUGAAAGGGAACCUGAUCUCGGGGCCAUGCUCGCCGCACCUCGACGGCGGGCAGUAGCUGAAGAAAUCCUUGUCUUCCCACGCUGACACUGACGCUGCUGUGUGCAGGUUGAGAAGAAGGCUCAACACCAGGAGGGUUGCUGCAAGAAAUCCUCUCAUCCUAUUUUCUGUAUGCACUGUGACAGGCAGGCGAGAUGGAGACGAUCCAACAAGUAAGCAAGGCAGGGCAAUGUUGCGUUGCGUCGAGUUAAAAGAUGGACACCACUAUACCACAGUGUAGUACCCGGCCGGAAGCUGCCUGCAGUCUAGUGAAUCGCAGCAGCAUCCAUCCUGCCGUGUGGAAAAAGACCUAUAGGUAGAUCUUUUGAGGGUUUGCUUGGUUAGCUUAGCUGGACCUGUUAUCUGUCUGGGAAAGGGUUUAUUUGUAGAAACCCUCAAACAUCUGGCAAAUGCUCAUUUCUCUUAAUGGAAAUGGGGGAGCUUGGCUCUCCUACUUUAUUGGAUC